GAGGGUAUAGCUCAGUGGUAGAGUACAUGCUUAGCGUGCCUGAGGGCCUCGGUUCAAUACCCAAUACCUCUA
rfam:Camelus ferus unplaced genomic scaffold scaffold1120, whole genome shotgun sequence.